rnacentral:rRNA from 1 species
AGGCUGGAAGUGGAAGUGCAGCAAUGUAUGCAGCUGACCAGUACUAAUCGGUCGAGGGCUUAUCCUG